UCCCUGGUGGUCUAGUGGUUAGGACUUGGCGCUCUUACUGCUGGGGCCCGGGUUCAAUCUCUGGUCUGGGAA
rnacentral:tRNA from 1 species